UAUACAUGCAAGUCGGACGGCAGCACGGGGGCAACCCUGGUGGCGAGUGGCGAACGGGUGAGUAAUACAUCGGAACGUGCCCUGUUGUGGGGGAUAACUAGUCGAAAGAUUAGCUAAUACCGCAUACGACCUGAGGGUGAAAGCGGGGGACCGAAAGGCCUCGCGCAAUAGGAGCGGCCGAUGUCUGAUUAGCUAGUUGGUGGGGUAAAGGCCCACCAAGGCGACGAUCAGUAGCUGGUCUGAGAGGACGAUCAGCCACACUGGGACUGAGACACGGCCCAGACUCCUACGGGAGGCAGCAGUGGGGAAUUUUGGACAAUGGGGGCAACCCUGAUCCAGCAAUGCCGCGUGUGUGAAGAAGGCCUUCGGGUUGUAAAGCACUUUUGUCCGGAAAGAAAUGGCCUGGGUU
rnacentral:rRNA from 1 species